AUCAGGGCAGGGUAAGUCGGCCCCUAAGGCGAGGCAGAAAUGCGUAGUCGAUGGGAAACGGGUUAAUAUUCCCGUACUUAUAUAAUCAGUGAUGGAGGGACGGAGAAGGCUAGGCAAGCUUGGCGUUGGUUGUCCAAGUGAAAGUGAGUAGGCUGAAGACUUAGGUAAAUCCGGGUUUUCAAGGCCGAGACACGAGACGAGCUCCCAAGGGAGUGAAGUUGUUGAUGCCCUGCUUCCAGGAAAAGCUUCUAAACUUAUGAUUAUAUGAACCGUACCCCAAACCGACACAGGUGGUCAGGUAGAGAAUACUAAGGCGCUUGAGAGAACUCGGGUGAAGGAACUCGGCAAAAUUGUACCGUAACUUCGGGAGAAGGUACGCCGCUGACGGUGAUGAGACUUGCUCUCUGAGCUAUUGGCGGUCGCAGUGAAAA
rnacentral:rRNA from 1 species